rnacentral:rRNA from 1 species
UGGGGAAUCUUGCACAAUGGGCGCAAGCCUGAUGCAGCCAUGCCGCGUGAAUGAUGAAGGCCUUAGGGUUGUAAAAUUCUUUCGCCAGGGAUGAUAAUGACAGUACCUGGUAAAGAAGCCCCGGCAAACUUCGUGCCAGCAGCCGCGGUAAUACGAAGGGGGCUAGCGUUGUUCGGAAUUACUGGGCGUAAAGCGCACGUAGGCGGACCCUUAAGCCAGAUGUGAAAUCCCGGGGCUCAACUCCGGAACUGCAUUUGGAACUGGGGGUCUGGAGUCCGGGAGAGGUUCGUGGAAUACCGAGUGUAGAGGUGAAAUUCGUAGAUAUUCGGUGGAACACCAGUGGCGAAGGCGACGAGCUGGACCGGUACUGACGCUGAGGUGCGAAAGCGUGGGGAGCAAACAGGAUUAGAUACCCCUGUAGUCC